UACAGAGGGUGCGAGCGUUGUUCAGAAUUAUUGGGCGUAAAGGGCGCGUAGGCGGUGCGGUAAGUCACCUGUGAAAUCUCCUGGCUCAACUGGGAGCUUGCAGGCGAAACUGCCGUGCUGGAGUGUGGGAGAGGUGAGUGGAAUUCCCGGUGUAGCGGUGAAAUGCGUAGAUAUCAGGAGGAACACCAGCGGUGUAGACGGCUUUCUGGACCAUUGCUGACGCUGAGACACGAAAGCGUGGGUAGCAAACAGG
rnacentral:rRNA from 1 species